rnacentral:lncRNA from 1 species
GUCACCACCACGGUAUUCUCGAUACUACGUGGUUUUGCAGUGCGAAGUGUUAGCCGCUUCGGGGUCUCGUGGAUUCGGCGACGUGAAUGCAUACUGUGUGGUGCUUAGAACGACGUCGUGGCCGCACUUCGGGAACACUGCUACCGGGAAAGCUUCGUAGACAAACGGGAUUUGGAGAGGCUCAAGACGGAGACGGAGGGCUCUUGGAGUAAAAAAAGAAAAAAGAAUGGUGCCGAUCGGCUCCUCUUGCUGCUGCUGCAAGGCCGACGGUAAUACCCGUCCGCCCGGCCUUGUUGGGAAGGAGAUCGGGCCACUUCAGCCAAUCAGAGAAGAGAACCAGGAAAAAAAGGGCUCCUUCAUUUCCACGCAUCUCACCAGCCUCCAAUAGACGCCGACUACACGGAAACGUCACGAAAGGACUGGCGACGUCAGUAGCGUUUGCCCCCCUGGAUAGGUACAUGCUGAUGGCUAGCAUCCGUUACCGGCGAACCAAGCCGAACACUUUAUACCAACUUC